rnacentral:lncRNA from 1 species
CAUAAAUACAAAUUCCAUCUAGACACUGUUUCCCUAGAGAACAUAAAAAACUAGACCCACCACGGCCUAAACAUCAGCGCCACAGGUAACUUCCACAAAGCUGUGAACGAUCUGAGAGACAAGGCAAGAAGGGCAUUCUACGCCAUCAAAAGGAACAUAAAAUUCAAACUGAAACUGACAGAAGCUGAUGACAUCGAGGCUUGCCUUCAAGAGGACGGCGGCUAGGGAGAUUUGGCCCCAUGAGUAAUGGGCCAGCCUGCUAGAACCCUUCCUGUCAGGCGCAGCACCGAAGACAUAUCAGGAUCUGACGGCUGACCAGGCGGCGCAUUACGAGCAGCUGAUGGCUGACCAGGCGGCGCAUUACGAGCAGCUGAUGGCUGACCAGGCGGCGCAUUACGAGCAGCUGAUGGCUGACCAGGCGACGCAUUACGAGCAGCUGAUGGCUGACCAGGCGGCGCAUUACGAGCAGCUGAUGGCUGACCAGGUGACGCAUUAUGAGCAGCUGACGGCCAAGGAUGGAAGAACACCAAAUCAAAUCAAAGAUUAUUUGUCACGUGUGCUGAAUACAACACCUUACAGUGAAACGUUUACUUAGAGGCUCCAACCAAUAGUGCAAAAAAGGUAUUAGGUGAACAAUAGGUAAGUAAAGAAAUAAAAAAUACAGUAAAAAAUACUUUUGAAAAUAACAGUAGCAAGGCUAUAUACAGACGCCGGUUAGUCAGGCUGAUUGAGGUAGUAUGUACAUGUAGAUAUGGUUAAUGUGACUACGCGUAUAUGAUGAACAGAGCGUAGCAGUAGCGUAAAAGAGGGGUUGGCGGGUGGUGGGACACAAUGCAGAUAGCCUGGUUAGCCAAUGUGCGGGGGCAUUGGUUGGUCGGUGCAACUGAGGUAGUAUGUACAUGAAUGUAUAGUUAAAGUGACUAUGCAUAUAUGAUAAACAGAGAGUAGCAGCAGCAUAAAAGAGAGGUUGGGAGGGGGGGGCACACAAUGAAAAUAAUCCGGGUAGCCAUUUGAUUACCUGUUCAGGAGUAAAAACUGUUGAGAAGCCAACUCCCUGAGACGAGACCCCGUCCUGAGCCUGGACAGCAGGAAGUGUGGCGAGCCGGGACACAUCGCCUGGAACUGUCCAAAACUGUGAUGAUCCGAUGCCUUCGGCCUCAGUGAGGUAGCCACCGGGCAUUCCUGUGGCUUACUGAGGGCAUGCUGGGCUAGGGAGAGUGGUCCUUCCCCUGUCACCCCGGUAAGAGCCAACGGAAAGGACACCAUGGCACUUGGGAGUAUGAUGACCCUGAUCCGACCUGACUUCGGCCCACUCCCCGAACCUGACGGACACCGUGGUCAUCACAUGCAUACACGGUGAAACCAAGGACUAUCCUACCACACUCCUCCACCUACAGACUACAAAGGGACAACACACAGGGUCAGUGGGAGCUGUCCCGAACCUGCCAGUGCCGGUCCUUAUUGGGAGGGAUUUCCCGAUGUUCCACCAACUGUGGACCAGUAUGUCCGGAGACGUGGGGAACAGAGGGAACCGGGUGGGAGAAGGAAACCGGAGAGGGGGGGGACGUUGGAAGGAGUGAUGCCCGGAUGUGUGGAUUCCAGGAAGUGGACCCCAGGCGACAACUGACCCCAAGGAACAGCUAACCCCAAGGAAAUGUCGGCUUGGCCGGCGGGAGGCUGAGUACCUGGAGUACACCAUCGAGAGGGGAUGUGUAAAAUCCCAGGUGAAGAAAGUGGAGACGAUUUGGGACUGACUCCGCCCCCUCACCAAGAAGCAGGUUGACUAGUUACUACCGGAGAUUUAUCCCCCACUUUGCCUCCCUAGCCAGCCUCCUGACAGAUCUGACCAGGAGCCGUCUACCCGCCCAGGUGACGUGGACCGAGGAGACAGAGAAAGCUUUCCAGGGACCUAAAGGGAGUCCUGUGUUUUGGACCCAUGCUGGUGACCCCGGACUUCUUCAAACCACUGGUGGUACAGACCAAUCGGUCCAAAACAGGGGUGAGUGCCGUCCUAUCACAGCUACAAGAAGGUGAGGAAAACACCUAGUCAUGUACAUUCGCCGGAAGCAGGUUGCCACGGGAACCAAGACAUUCCGCUGUGGAGAAAGAAUGUCUUGCGAUCAAGCGGGCGCUGGAGAUGCUGAAAUAUUACUUAUUGGGACGGCACUUCACCCUCGUAACGGACCAUGCACCGUUGGUUUGGAUGUCACGGAAUAAGGACAGUAACACCCGGGUCACACGCUGGUUCCUAUCCUUACAGCCCUUUGCGUUCUCUGUCGUCCACAGAUCAGGUGCGGCCCAUGGAAAUGCCAAUGACUUCUCCAGGAGGGAUGUUCUAGGAAGCUGGACUGCCCUACCCUCCUGGGCAGAGCUGAGGGUGGGGGGAGGGGUGGGGGGGUGUAUGGCAGACGGCAGGGAGAGGUGAGUGGAGCGGCGUUGAUUAAAGGGAGAUAUCUUGCAGCCCGCUGGCGCCAACCCUC